AUGACAUCCAGGCGGUUGGAAACCAUCUGGUAGGAAGCAAACCCAAUGAUGACCCUCACCUAAGGAACUUGGCUAUUUGUGUAAGCGUCCAGAGGGAGUGAUCCCUGGCCCCAUAACGUGCUGAGGCAAUUUCAAGAGUUACGAGAGGAUGAAGAUUUCAACAUGUGUGAUCAGAAAGUUGAAUGAGAUCUUUGUCUGGGCAGCUAGCAGGCCUUCUUCUGUUUUCUUUACUAUUAUACUGUGACUAACGAUUGGGUGUUUGGUUUUGGUUAUAACUUGAAAAUUGUUGUGAUCCAUGUGAAGUAAUGUCUUGUGAAUAUUCCACAUGGAUGCAGCCCCUACAUCGUCAGAUCUCUCCAGGUAUUUCGGAAAGAUUUUAAUCCCUCAGCUUAAACACAAGUUCCGUUUUAGGGCCAAUCCCCAGAUGGAGGAGUUAGAUGUACAUUCCUUCAAAGAGGCCCCAGCCAGCCACCCCAAGGUUUGGAGCCCGUGAGUGAGAAAGUCUGGAACUUUUGGCUGCUUGGUUUCAUUUUUUUAGUUUUCUUUUUGGGAGUGGUGGUAGAAUUUUACAAAGACUUGGUGGGGGAAGACGGGAAGAGAGCUGUCCCAGAAAGGAAGAUUUUAUACUCCAUACCAUCUUCUGACUUUCCCUUUUUAAAUGGUCUUGUGAUUUGUCUCCAGAGAAGAGUUGGGAACAGGACCUAGAAAGAAGAGGGGCAGCUUUGUUGGAAUUUAUUGCUGGUUCUGGUAAGAUCAGGAAGCGGGAGUGGGGGGAUGGAGGAAAAUAAUGAGUGUUGGGACUGAAUGAAACUUAAUUAGGGGAGGUGACAAGAAAUGGCCCUGUGAACAGGCCUCAAACACAGGGAUGAGUACUGCUCAGCGAGGCAGAGGCCAGCCACCUGUGGGAUGAGCACCUGCAUGGCCACCUUUACCAACAGACUCUCCUUCUCCUUCUCAGCACAGGCCCUGGCCCGGGUCCCAGGGACAUCAGGGCCCAGAGACCUCACGUGGCUUGUCCUCACCUGGCUUGCCUAGGUUUGAGGUGUUGCUCAAGACAGAGCCUUUGCUGCUGCCCCUGAACACUGCCUGCCAGCACCCCAGCCCACCACCCUGACCUCAUCACCCCGGAAAGGAGCAAGCUCAUCAAAUAGGACAGUGCUUGGGGUCUUCGCCAGUAGCUAGCACUGGCUGCUGUUUAUGAGCAUCUGUUAUACACAAGGCAGUGGAGCAUUCUCACAUUUAAUCCUCAACACAGUGCUAUCAGAGAUGGGGGUCUUGUUAUGUCACCCAGGCUGGCCUUGAACGCUUGGUCUCAAGAGAUCCUCCUGCCUCAGCCUCCUGCGUAACUGGGACUACAGGAACAUACCACCAUACCCAGUUACUUUCAAGGAUCUGAAUUCAGAAUUCUCUGCAUCAACUAAGUGGUUCUGCUGGUUGUGUCUGGGAUCAUUCACACAGCUGCAUUCAAUCAGCAGAGAAGCUGGUGAUUGGGCUGAUGGCUCAUCCUCAAGAAGACUAGAUCAGCUUCCUCACAUAACGGCAGCCAGGUUCCAAGGCAAACCCCAGUGUGCAAGUACUUAGCAAGUCACUGCUUGUGUCAAGUUUACUGAUGUCCCCUUGGUCACAGUGCUAACACAGUAAAGUCCAUAAUUAAUGUGUCAAGAAAUUGAACCAGGAGGUUUGAUUUUCUGUGGACAGUGUAACAAUCUACAAUGUUGUAAUUAAUUAUUUGUAAAUUCAUGUAAAGGAGUUAUUGAGGCGGGCGUUGUGGCUCAUGCCUGUAAUCCCACCACUUUGGGAGGCUGAGAUGGGCAGGUGGAUCACUUGAGGUAAGGAGUUUGAGACCAGCCUGGCCAACAUGGUGAAACCUGUCUCUACUAAAAAUACAAAAAUUAGCUGGGCAUGGUGGUGCGCGCCUAUAAUCCCAGCAACUUGGGAGGCUGAGGCAGGAGAAUCACAUGAACACAGAAGGUGGAGGUUGCAGUGAGCCGAGAUCGUGCCACUGCACUACAGCCGGGGUGACAGAGCGAGACCUUGUCUCAAAAAAAAACACACACAAAAAAGGAGUUGCCGAAUCCAUAAUAGGUUUUCAUCAGAUAUUUUCUCAAUCAUCAGAAUUUUCAUUAAAACUUCAGAUACUCUUCUGAGAAUCCAUUAAAUUGUCUGACAUUGUAAAGAGAUCUCUGUAGUUAAAAAGGAUGGGAACCUCUAAAUAAAUGCACCAUCUGCUAGGAAUUUAAAAUAUUUGGUCUCAUUGAUGUUUGGGAUGAGAUUUGACAUAUUUGGCAAAUGUUGCUUUAAUGUUUAUUAUGUUUUCCACCAUACUUAGGAUCAUGAGUGUUAAAUAAAGAAUGUUUAAAAAGUUAAUUCAUUAUUGCUCCUUUGCUAAAAGAAUAAAAUGUGGAAUUUGUUAUUUCUCAUCCAAGGCGGACUAUGUCACCUGAAUGCAUCAAGCCCACCCCUGGCUCCUAUGGCUUUAAUGUGGCAGAAAUCAAGGAUAAAGCACCAAAAGUCAGGAACCCGUGGGGGCAGGCAGCUGGGAGUAGGGGGGCAGCCCUGGAGUAGUGAUUGUGGCAGUGCACAUGGACA
rnacentral:lncRNA from 1 species